rnacentral:lncRNA from 1 species
UCCCAUCUGGCCCACAGACCACACUCGAAUAGGAAAGAUGUUAACUUUACUCCAAAUGGGCAUUGUCCCUGCUCUUAAUCACCUAUAAUUUUAUUCUUCAGGGUUCCAAGAUCAUCAGAUUGGAGAAACUGACCCAUUGGAACUCAAAACAUACUUGGUCCAAAUAGCUUCACCCAGGUUUGAGAAGUCAUUCAAGAAUGUUGGAAACCAAGGCAUGGUCUGCAUAAGAACGUCCAUGACUUCCGUCCCAUCUCACAUCAGUUGAGGGUUCCCCAGGAGACUCUCCACCGUUCCUCAGAAGGUUCUGCUUUUUGCUGGAAAGAGCUACAUGAACAUACGACUGAGAUUGUUUUGCAAGACUUGGUGACCUACAGCUGGUCCACAGCUAAUUGCUGGAGCCUCACUGGAGAUGUAAAUACUGUAGUUUCGGGACACACACCUGAAGAGCACAAACCUCUAUGUAAUGGGUCAGAGAGCAGCAGUUCAUUUCUUGAUGCCUUUUUCACAUAUGCACCAUCUGUAUACUGAAUGACAUGCAUGGAAAAUGUGUUUAACGGUGGAGAAACAGAAAUGCGUAGUGGUUUUUGAGCUCUUAGUUUUGUGUCAUGAAAAUGAAUUUCAAUCCUGUCUGUCCCAUUUGUUAGCUGCAUCUGUUUUUCUAUCAGUACAAUGCAUGUAACGCUCUUGGGACAGUUAUUGUGUGAGUUAAAUAAAUGGAUGUGUGUAAAAACACUUGGCGUGGUGCCUAGAACAGAGUAAGACAUCAAACAAUAGCUGCUGUUAUUCUGUAGGAUAUAGUGUUCUGCUACCUGACUCUUCUGAAAAGGAAACUAAUACCCAAAUUUGUCUCAUGUGAGUU